rnacentral:misc_RNA from 1 species
GAAAUGCGAUAAGUAAUGUGAAUUGCAGAAUUCAGUGAAUCAUCGAGUCUUUGAACGCACAUUGCGCCCCCUGGCAUUCCGGGGGGCAUGCCUGUCCGAGCGUCAUUGCUGCCCUUCAAGCCCGGCUUGUGUGUUGGGUCGUCGUCCCCUCCGGGGGACGGGCCCGAAAGGCAGCGGCGGCACCGCGUCCGGUCCUCGAGCGUAUGGGGCUUUGUCACCCGCUCGAUAAGGACCGGCCGGGCGCCAGCCGGCGCCUCCAACCUUUUUUUCUCAGGUUGACCUCGGAUCAGGUAGGGAUACCCGCUGAACUUAAGC